GUUGAAAUGCCGGUUCCUGUACAAUCACUGAAGUUAAGCAACUUUGAGCUUGAUCAGUAGAUAGGUGGGUGACCGCUUUGGAAUACCAGAUACUGUAA
rnacentral:rRNA from 1 species